UUCACCUAACCAUGCAUGAGUAUAAAGUGUGUUUGACAUAAAGCUGUUAGUUUUAGUUUUACAUUAUAAUGACAUAGAAUAGAUGGUAUUUUGAUGGUUUGAUGGUUGUUGGUAAAAUAACCCCCCCCAAAAAAGCCACGAGCCCACCACUGGUGUCUUUUUCUGACGCCCAGAGCUAUCCAUAGCUACAGUAUCUACUGUACUAGCCUACUUGACCAAGUAGCCUAGUCCAACUUGAGAGCAGAGAUGUGAACUGUUCCUGGAGUACAAGGCAGCACAAGACCAAACUGACGUUGCACAACCAUCAGUAUCUGCAUGCUUCUCCAAUGUUUCGGUCUACAGUUCUAAAUCCCCUCGGCAGCAAGCAAUUAAUGCAUCCAUCAUUAAGGACUUGGUAAUUGACUGUGCACUGCCUCUGGCUUUGGUGGAGAAUUGUUACUUUAGAACAUUUCUGAAAGUCAUGGACUCAAAAUACACCCCCAUCUCGAGAAGCACUAUCUAAGUGAAGCAGACUAUUGUUGAAAGAUUGCAGAGUCAACCAUCUGUCUCUGUAACCGUUGGUAUCUGGUCUGACCGCAGACUGCGGUCCUUUCUUGGCGUCACUGCGCAUGCAGUACACUGCUCUAAUGGAUCCUGUGUGCUUGAACCGUACCUGCUUGAAUGCCGACGGUUUACAGGACGGCACAGCGGUGAGAGGAUUUCUGCUGCUUUUGAGGAAAUACUUGAAGAAUAUGGCAUCGCGCAAAAAGUUUGUUAUAUUAUAACAGACAAUGCAGCCAACAUGAAAUGCGCUUUCAAAGUGCAAAUGCCCCUGCAGCAAGCCUCUGACACAGAAAGCGAGGAUGACCUUGAUGAUGAGGAGUUAUGGGAGGACACUGAUGAGGACACAGAACUUGGGCUAUCAGGGGAGAGGCUUUCUUGUUUUGCCCAUUCUCUUCAAUUAGUUGUCUCAGAUGGAAUGAAAGAGGUCAAAUCAAUUAGUCUUGCCAUUGCUAAAGCAUCUCGCUUUUCUACCCUCUUGCACACCAGCUCGGCUUUCAAAGACACAUUUGAAAGCACAUGUGGAACAACAAAAACUGUACCUGCAGCGAACAACACCAGAUGGAAUAGUACAUUUAAACAGCUACAAGCACUGACUUCUCUGGAUCACAAAACAUUGACCGAAAUGUGCCUUAACGACUUUUCAGAAGUUGUUUUCACGCCACGUGAGUGGAACCAACUCAGAGACUUAACCUCAAUUCUUACUCCUUUUGCUGAGGCUACUAACUUAACAGAGGGGGAAAAAGUCGUAACUAUCAGCAUCAUUGUGCCGACUGUUCUUGACCUGAACACCCAUUUAAUAAAAUGUGAAACAACUCAUAUCCUGUGUAGACCCAUCGCAAGGGCACUACACGGAUCACUGAAAAAACGCUUCCAGGGGAUUUUUGAACAGUUUGACAUGGCUGGGAAAACUGGGAAGGAGGAGCCAUUCAACAACAAAAUCUACACCCUUUCCACAAUGCUGGACCCACAGUUUGGCCUAAAUUGGGUGGAUCUCGAUGUGACGUGCAAGCAGGGUGCAGCAUACCAGAGGCGAUAGAGAGAGGACCUGAAAAAAUCACUGAAAGAAACACUGGUUGCAGAGGUUGAGAAAUGUGCUGAGAGAUACGGAGGAGAACAAGAUGACUUGGACGGCACAUUGGAAGAGGAUGAAGACUCCCCACCAAAGAAAUGUGGUCGCAUGCUGUCGAGGUACAAAUCUCUCAAAAAGCGCAGCACAGGGCAGCAAACAUGUGUUGCUACGCAGGUUGCAAAAUACUGUUGAAGACACAGACAUUGAGAAUGCUCUUUACUUUUGGGCCAAACACCAAGAGCGUUUUCCCCAAAUCCACAUGCUGGCCAUGAAACUGUUGGCUGUGCCGGCGUCUUCAGCACCCGUUGAACGUGUUUUUAGUCGAGGUGGUUUUAUUAGGAGACCACAUCGGUCCCGCCUCAGGCACAGCUUGCUCUCAUCUCUGAUUUUUCUAAAGUGCAACUACGAAAUUCUUGACGGGGAAGAGUAAAAUGAAGAGUGUGUGUCUGUGUGAGUCCAGGGGAUGUGGGGUGCUAAAUGGUUUGGUUGCAAAAGGGUGUUGGGUGGGAGUGGGGAUUUGAGGAAAUGGUUUAGUGGCCAGUAAUGGGGAGGGGGACCAAGACCUGUCUUCAGUGCCUGUUGCACUUGUUUUUAGAGUGUUCAUUAUGAGACCACAUCGGUCCCAUCUCAGGCGCAGUUUGUUCUUGCCUGCCGUGUGUUUAAAAGAUAUACAGUGGGAAGAAUAAGUAUUUGAACCCAUGCUACAGUUGACUAAAAAGAGGAAUAUAUUUUAUAUUCCUCUUUUUAGUCAACUUUAGCAUGGGUUCAAAUACUUAUUCUCCCCACUGUACAUGUUCAUGUUUUGGGGACUGGGGGUGGGUUUAAUAACAUAGAAUAUUUGUUAACAGCAGUGUGACAUAGUGUGAUGUGUGUGUGUGUGUGUAUUUGGGUGUGUGUUUG